UGCCCGGUGGUGUAAUGGUAGCACGGGUGGCUCUGAACCACCUAGUCAAGGUUCGAAUCCUUGCUGGGCAA
rnacentral:tRNA from 1 species